rnacentral:rRNA from 1 species
UCGAGGAUCUUCGGCAAUGGGCGCAAGCCUGACCGAGCGACGCCGCGUGCGCGAUGAAGGCCUUCGGGUUGUAAAGCGCUGUCGAGGGGGAGGAAAACCCGCAAGGGUCUGACCUAUCCCUGGAGGAAGCACGGGCUAAGUUCGUGCCAGCAGCCGCGGUAAGACGAACCGUGCGAACGUUGUUCGGAAUCACUGGGCUUAAAGGGCGCGUAGGCGGAUUGCCAAGUCCGGGGUGAAAUCGUUCGGCCCAACCGGACAAGUGCCUUGGAUACUGGCGAUCUUGAGCGAGGUAGGGGCAGCUGGAACUUCCGGUGGAGCGGUGAAAUGCGUUGAUAUCGGAAGGAACGCCGGUGGCGAAAGCGAGCUGCUGGACCUUUUCUGACGCUGAGGCGCGAAAGCCAGGGGAGCAAACGGGAUUAGAUACCCCCGUAGUCC